rnacentral:lncRNA from 1 species
GAGCUUGUUUGGGACAAAAUUCUUGUGCUCCUGAAAAACUCCAAACUUUCACCUGAAAGGGCAAACAUCCUGGGCUGAAGAACUUUGCUGGGACUACCCAGAAAUGGAACAAACAUGCACCCAAAGAGUUCUUGGGCAAAUUUGAUUUGCACUUUUCUCUGCAGUCACCCUACGUGACCUUCAAGCAGAGAUAAUGAGAGAGAAAUUCUUGGGAAAAGCGCAAGGAAAAUAGAUGCUUCUAACAUCACGAAAGAAAAAACCUAUGGUCGUUCUCAGCCUUUGGUUGUUCCUCUGACUUGAUCCAGAUUAUGGAAAGCAGGGCUGGGGAAUGACAAUGAUCAAGACGGCAGAGCUAGGAUUGCACCUCCUCUUUUGCAUGGUUUGAGAAAAGUCUGUGCAGCGGGUCUGUCUUGUGCCAGAUGAAAAAGAAAUCAUCACAAAAGACAGCAGCUGAACAGCCUUGCGCUGGAGGAGUAACCUGUGCCAAGGAGACCUUGAAAGGUGGCAUGAGCUGCGUGUUCAGAGCUGCUGGGAGAGGACACAGUGAUUUGGAGAGAAGCCUCAGGCGCACUCUUCCGUUUCCAAGGGCAGGAAACAUCUGA